rnacentral:tRNA from 1 species
ACCUGAGUGGCUCAGUGGUUGAGCAUCUGACUUCAUCUCAGGUUGUGAUCCCGGGGUGCUGGGAUCGAGUCCCACAUCAGGCA